CCUACGGGAGGCAGCAGUGGGGAAUAUUGGACAAUGGGGGCAACCCUGAUCCAGCCAUGCCGCGUGUGUGAAGAAGGCCCUCGGGUUGUAAAGCACUUUCAGUGAGGAAGAACGCCUGGUGGUUAAUACCCAUCAGGAAAGACAUCACUCACAGAAGAAGCACCGGCUAACUCCGUGCCAGCAGCCGCGGUAAUACGGAGGGUGCGAGCGUUAAUCGGAAUUACUGGGCGUAAAGCGCGCGUAGGUGGCUUGAUAAGCCGGUUGUGAAAGCCCCGGGCUCAACCUGGGAACGGCUCCGGAACUGUCAAGCUAGAGUGCAGGAGAGGAAGGUAGAAUUCCCGGUGUAGCGGUGAAAUGCGUAGAGAUCGGGAGGAAUACCAGUGGCGAAGGCGGCCUUCUGGACUGACACUGACACUGAGGUGCGAAAGCGUGGGUAGCAAACAGGAUUAGAUACCCGUGUAGUC
rnacentral:rRNA from 1 species